rnacentral:tRNA from 1 species
AAGGGUAUAGCUCAGUGGUAGAGUGCAUACCUAUCAUGCCUGAGGUCCUGCGUUCAAUCCCCAGUACCUAUG